rnacentral:tRNA from 1 species
GCCUGGAUAGCUCAAUCAGUAGAGUAUCAGACUUUUAAUCUUGAACUGGGUUCAAGUCCCUGUCUGGGCG